rnacentral:rRNA from 1 species
CUAUACGGAGUUACAAAGGACGACAUUAGACGAAUCAUCUGGAAAGAUGAAUCAAAGAAGGUAAUAAUCCUGUAGUCGAAAAUGUUGUCUCUCUUGAGUGGAUCCUGAGUACGACGGAGCACGUGAAAUUCCGUCGGAAUCUGGGAGGACCAUCUCCUAAGGCUAAAUACUCUCUAGUGACCGAUAGUGAACCAGUACCGUGAGGGAAAGGUGAAAAGCACCCCGGAAGGGGAGUGAAAUAGAACCUGAAACCGUGUGCUUACAAGUAGUCAGAGCCCGUUAAUGGGUGAUGGCGUGCCUUUUGUAGAAUGAACCGGCGAGUUACGAUUUGAUGCAAGGUUAAGCAGUAAAUGUGGAGCCGUAGCGAAAGCGAGUCUGAAUAGGGCGUUUAGUAUUUGGUCGUAGACCCGAAACCAGGUGAUCUACCCUUGGUCAGGUUGAAGUUCAGGUAACACUGAAUGGAGGACCGAACCGACUUACGUUGAAAAGUGAGCGGAUGAACUGAGGGUAGCGGAGAAAUUCCAAUCGAACCUGGAGAUAGCUGGUUCUCUCCGAAAUAGCUUUAGGGCUAGCCUCAAGUGAUGAUUAUUGGAGGUAGAGCACUGUUUGGACGAGGGGCCCCUCUCGGGUUACCGAAUUCAGACAAACUCCGAAUGCCAAUUAAUUUAACUUGGGAGUCAGAACAUGGGUGAUAAGGUCCGUGUUCGAAAGGGAAACAGCCCAGACCACCAGCUAAGGUCCCAAAAUAUAUGUUAAGUGGAAAAGGAUGUGGCGUUGCCCAGACAACUAGGAUGUUGGCUUAGAAGCAGCCAUCAUUUAAAGAGUGCGUAAUAGCUCACUAGUCGAGUGACACUGCGCCGAAAAUGUACCGGGGCUAAACAUAUUACCGAAGCUGUGGAUUGUCCUUUGGACAAUGGUAGGAGAGCGUUCUAAGGGCGUUGAAGCAUGAUCGUAAGGACAUGUGGAGCGCUUAGAAGUGAGAAUGCCGGUGUGAGUAGCGAAAGACGGGUGAGAAUCCCGUCCACCGAUUGACUAAGGUUUCCAGAGGAAGGCUCGUCCGCUCUGGGUUAGUCGGGUCCUAAGCUGAGGCCGACAGGCGUAGGCGAUGGAUAACAGGUUGAUAUUCCUGUACCACCUAUAAUCGUUUUAAUCGAUGGGGGGACGCAGUAGGAUAGGCGAAGCGUGCGAUUGGAUUGCACGUCUAAGCAGUAAGGCUGAGUAUUAGGCAAAUCCGGUACUCAUUAAGGCUGAGCUGUGAUGGGGAGAAGACAUUGUGUCUUCGAGUCGUUGAUUUCACACUGCCGAGAAAAGCCUCUAGAUAGAAAAUAGGUGCCCGUACCGCAAACCGACACAGGUAGUCAAGAUGAGAAUUCUAAGGUGAGCGAGCGAACUCUCGUUAAGGAACUCGGCAAAAUGACCCCGUAACUUCGGGAGAAGGGGUGCUCUUUAGGGUUAACGCCCAGAAGAGCCGCAGUGAAUAGGCCCAAGCGACUGUUUAUCAAAAACACAGGUCUCUGCUAAACCGUAAGGUGAUGUAUAGGGGCUGACGCCUGCCCGGUGCUGGAAGGUUAAGAGGAGUGGUUAGCUUCUGCGAAGCUACGAAUCGAAGCCCCAGUAAACGGCGGCCGUAACUAUAACGGUCCUAAGGUAGCGAAAUUCCUUGUCGGGUAAGUUCCGACCCGCACGAAAGGCGUAACGAUUUGGGCACUGUCUCAACGAGAGACUCGGUGAAAUCAUAGUACCUGUGAAGAUGCAGGUUACCCGCGACAGGACGGAAAGACCCCGUGGAGCUUUACUGUAGCCUGAUAUUGAAAUUCGGCACAGCUUGUACAGGAUAGGUAGGAGCCUUUGAAACGUGAGCGCUAGCUUACGUGGAGGCGCUGGUGGGAUACUACCCUAGCUGUGUUGGCUUUCUAACCCGCACCACUUAUCGUGGUGGGAGACAGUGUCAGGCGGGCAGUUUGACUGGGGCGGUCGCCUCCUAAAAGGUAACGGAGGCGCUCAAAGGUUCCCUCAGAAUGGUUGGAAAUCAUUCAUAGAGUGUAAAGGCAUAAGGGAGCUUGACUGCGAGACCUACAAGUCGAGCAGGGUCGAAAGACGGACUUAGUGAUCCGGUGGUUCCGCAUGGAAGGGCCAUCGCUCAACGGAUAAAAGCUACCCCGGGGAUAACAGGCUUAUCUCCCCCAAGAGUUCACAUCGACGGGGAGGUUUGGCACCUCGAUGUCGGCUCAUCGCAUCCUGGGGCUGUAGUCGGUCCCAAGGGUUGGGCUGUUCGCCCAUUAAAGCGGUACGCGAGCUGGGUUCAGAACGUCGUGAGACAGU